ACGCUGGAGUCAGACCCAUCCCGGCUCCGUUCUACUUUCUGCAGACUGUGGUCACCGAAGGCAGUGAAUGAGGGGACUGGAGGCUGGGGUCGAGCCCCAGCUCUGGGGUCAGGUCUCUGACAAGUGUGGUAUGUGACAGGGCCUGCCCAGUGGGUGAGGGAAGUGAGGCACCGUCGACUGGCUUGGGGCUGCGAUACCCACAGCCCCACUGCCCAGUGAGGGGGGAGGCAUGAAUUCCGCGAACCCCUUCCAGCUCUGAUGUUCCGUCCGCAGCAGCCAAGCAGCUGCGGAGGACCAGGAGGAUUCAACCAGCUCCUGUGGCUUCCAAAAGCCAAACGAGGACCUAUGGCUAGAAGUUACAGAAGUGCCCGCUCGGGUCCCCAUGGAAGGAAAGCUAUGUGCGAGGGGGUCUUCUCAGGAGUGAGCCAGCCCUUCAGUUAGUGAGUUCCCUGUCUUUCGGAGGCAUCCAAGUGAGGCCGGAAGAGGCUAGUCAUUUCUAGCUCUGUGCCCAACUGUCAGGAUGCCUUGUCAUUUUCUGAGGAUGUGUCUUCUUCCCGGUCCUAUCGGGUCUGGAGACAGAGGCAGGGAGAAGCCGACAGACUAGCAUAGUUCCAGCAGGGUUCAUUGGUAGCGCCUCCCAUAGCCAAGCAGGUGGGAGAAGGUGGCCCGUGCCUCCCCUCAGAGAGGCCCCUGCUCAUGUCACGUCGACCUUCAGUUCGGUUCAUAUGCUCUCUGAGCCAUACUCUGCUCACCUGUACCCCGGGGUCAUAAUCGGCCCCUGCUUCGUACGGUGACCAAAACAAUGCUUCCGGAGAGCUUUCGGUAAAUAUCACACGCCAAGUGUGAUCUCUUUAUUCCUGGACAAAAUGGAAACACCAGGACAACCACCAAAUCCAGAGUCCCUGGGAGGGGUUACUGCCGCCAGCUGGCUUGGAGGCAGAGACACCACAUGCAGGUCCAAACGCUCUCGGCCUCAAAGAGCGGAACAAAUCCCACAGGGGUAUUGAUUGAAACCAUUACGGAUUCGUGGAGACAACACGCCGGCCGGGAAUGGAGUCAGCUGCCGCUGCCUAUUUCCAUAAGGGAUUACCGUGUAAUUGAGAGGGGAAGACCGCUAAUGGCAGAGGCAAAGGCCAAUGCAGCCCCCACGCUCUUGGCUGCACAGCAAGGCUGAGACGCUGAAGGAGAAUCAUUCGUGAGAGGCUCUGCAAGGAAAAGUUCACCAGUACAAAGCCCAGGGAGCGGAUCCAAGGAGAAGCGGGAAAGAAUCCAUUGGGUGACUAUUUACUGAGUGCUUACUACAUGCGCCUGGCACGAGAGGGAGGACACGACAGGAACUACCCCCAUUGGCCAUCGACAGGGCGCCAUGAUGGAUUGAAACAAGAGAAUGACGGGGCCAGUUUUCUGCUUGAGAAAGCUCACUCUGGCUGUAAUAUGGGGAAUGGAUUGGAAGGGGCGAGAGUGGGGACUGGGGGAUGAUUUAGGAGGGCGCUGCCGUGACAAGUCUGAAUGAGUGGUGGCCUGAACCAAUAUAUAAUAUUAGUAGACAGGGAGAAGAGAGAUCGUCCAGAUGUAUUAAGAAGGGAAGGACCGACGGGCUGGUAAUGAAUGGAUGUGAUAAUAUAGAAGGAGUCCAGAAUGAUGGCCAGGGUUCUGGCUGUAGCAACCUGUGUGGGUGACGGUACCCUCCAUAAGACCGGGGGAUGUUCAGCUUAGUCCUUGCGGGAUUACAUUUAAGAAACCUACAAGACACCCCAAUGGAGACCUCAGUGGACAGCUAGUCAGGAGAGUGAUCUGAGCCGGAAUGGGGAUUGGGAAGUUGCCGAGAGGAAAGGGAUCCUUGAAGCUGGGGAUGGGGGGUGGGGGGUGAGAGAGCCCAGGAAAAGUAAAAGGAAGAAGGGAGGUCCAAGAAGAAGGUGGGGGGAGAUAUGGAUGCUUAAGGAGCAGGCCGAGGAAAGGGGCUAAUGGGAAGGUUUGAGGAGGAGGGCCAGAUAGAGCGUGAGGUGCUGGUAGGGCCCCUUAUGAGCAGAGGUGGGUGUUUGCAGAACACUUGGACAGGUCAUGGUUGCUGUCAGUGGACAGCUCUGGGACUAUUGACCUGGAAUGGAAAAGUAAUAGGUAUUUUGAAAAUUGGAGCCCCCCCCAAACCCCAGCCCCACACAUUUAUGAAAUGUUGGAGAGUUUGAAUCAAGGAUCUUCCUUCCACUUGGUGCCUCAAGACCUUGAAUGGGUAGGCUGACAUUUUUGAACCUCAGUGUUCUCUUCUGUAAAAUGGGAGAAUAAAACACGACCCUUCAAGGUAGUUGUAGAAACUAAAUGAUAUGGGCUAAGGGAACUUGCCUGGUGUAUUGCAGAUGCCCCACAAAUUCGCACAUGGUUUCCUCCCACACUCUGAGCUACCCAGCCUAGGACAAUGUGAUCAUAAAAGUAGCCCAAGGAUAAAUGGUCUUUAACAUGGGCAGAGUGUGGAGCGUGCCAUGGAGAGAGUGGGAUGCUGGGGUGCAGCUCUGAAUAGUCAUGGAGGCUCCCUAGAAGAGGUGAGUUUCUAGUAGUUUCCGGGAAUGAUGGGGAGUGGCUCAUAGGGCUAGGAGGAGGUGAGUGUUCUCAGGGGAGCCUGAGGUCCCUGGGAGGCAGAUGAGUGGAGAGGAGGGUGUCCUGGCUGGGCCAGGAAUCCAACUGUAGGAGAAUGUGACGAGCUGAAAGGAGAGUGGACGCCCAGCAGUGGACAGUGUCCAGGCUCUACCAUCUCAAGCCCAUGAGGGAGUGAAAUAGAGGAUUCCUGCCUCCAGGGAACUCACUCUGGUAGAAGGCUACAUUUUUCCUUCCUUGUUUACACUUUGGAGUUAUAAAAUUUCACAUCUCUCCCUCCUCCCAAAGCCCCUGGUGCCUAUAAACAAACAUCCCGAUGUACAAAGAUAAAUGGAAAUCAUAAGUCCCCAAGCUUCAGGACCCAAACAAAGAAGAGGAGGGAGGGCAGGGGCUGGGAGGAGGCGGACUUCGAUGAAAUCGAGACCAUGCCAGCCCCGUUCUCUGGUCAUGAUCAAUAUGUUCUCCAAAGUGCCUUUUAAAUUACUGUCGGAGGCAAUGUGCCAUAUUUAUGUAUAUACAUGCUUAGAGGUGACACGGGGGAGAAAUGCAAUUUCUAUUAUGAAAUCAUAAUGUGCAUUUAUCUUCAGGAAUAACACAUCGAAAUGUUGGAGUGAGAAAAGUUGAAAAGCAAUCUGUCUAUAAAUAAAGACCGCAGACAUCCUGA